AUUUUUAUGCAUCUUGAAUAAGAAAUAUUCUUGGUCAUUUAGGAUUGACUAAGAAAACCGGAACCCAAUACGUUAGGGCUCAAUUUCCCUCGAAAAUCCC
rfam:Gossypium raimondii chromosome 4, whole genome shotgun sequence.